AUUGAACGCUGGCGGCAGGCCUAACACAUGCAAGUCGAACGAGUGGCGGACGGGUGAGUAAUGUCUGGGAAACUGCCUGAUGGAGGGGGAUAACUACUGGAAACGGUAGCUAAUACCGCAUACCAUCAGAUGUGCCCAGAUGGGAUUAGCUAGUUGGUGGGGUAACGGCUCACCAACGCGACGAUCCCUAGCUGGUCUGAGAGGAGGACCAGCCACCCUGGGAGGAAGGGACGGUCGAGAAUCCUACGGAGGGAGGCAGUGGGGAAGAUUGCACAACGGGGGGAGGCCUGAUGCAGCAAUGCCGCGUGUAUGAAGAAGGCCUUCGGGUUGUAAAGUACUUUCAGCGGGGAGGCGUUGCCCGCAGAAGAAGCAGCGGCUAACUCCGUGGCAGCAGCCGCGGUGGUAAUUC
rnacentral:rRNA from 1 species